GAUCCUGGCUCAGGAUGAACGCUGGCGACGUGCCUAACACAUGCAAGUCGAGCGAUCUCUUCGGAGAGAGCGGCGGACGGGUGAGUAACGUGUGGGUAACCUGCCCUGUACACACGGAUAACAUACCGAAAGGUAUGCUAAUACGGGAUGAUAUAUAAGAGUCGCAUGACUUUUAUAUCAAAGAUUUUUCGGUACAGGAUGGACCCGCGUCUGAUUAGCUUGUUGGCGGGGUAACGGCCCACCAAGG
rnacentral:rRNA from 1 species